rnacentral:rRNA from 1 species
CCUACGGGGUGCAGCAGUGGGGAAUAUUGCACAAUGGGCGCAAGCCUGAUGCAGCCAUGCUGCGUGUAUGAAGAAGGCCUUCGGGUUGUAAAGUACUUCCAGCGGGGAGGAAGGCGUUGUGGUUAAUAACCGCAGCAAUUGACGUUACCCGCAGAAGAAGCACCGGCUAACUCCGUGCCAGCAGCCGCGGUAAUACGGGGGGUGCAAGCGUUAAUCGGAAUUACUGGGCGUAAAGCGCACGCAGGCGGUCUGUCAAGUCGGAUGUGAAAUCCCCGGGCUCAACCUGGGAACUGCAUUCGAAACUGGCAGGCUAGAGUCUUGUAGAGGGGGGUAGAAUUCCAGGUGUAGCGGUGAAAUGCGUAGAGAUCUGGAGGAAUACCGGUGGCGAAGGCGGCCCCCUGGACAAAGACUGACGCUCAGGUGCGAAAGCGUGGGGAGCAAACAGGAUUAGAUACCCUCGUAGUC